ACGCAGCCUUCGGAGUCCGCCUGCGUGGCUCAUUGAACCGAUGCGGUAACGGCUUUCAUCUGCAGCGGCGGGAAUGUCGCGGCUCCUCGCGGGGUUCCUCGCGCCGCUGCUGUUCUGUCUGGGGACUUCCGGGAAAACCGUGGCGGGAACUUUCCGGAGCGAAGCGGCGUGGCGGGAAAACGGCCAGUUCAUCACGGCGUUCGUGUUCCGGGGAGACGGCGGUCUGUUGGUGUGCCGGCUGGAUGACCCCGCCCUGGCGGCACAGAGGCAGGCCCGGCUGCUCCUGUUCCAGGACCCGGGUUUGGACCUGCACAGCCUGAGCUGCACCGACAAGCUCAGAAAAGCCCAGAUGACAGUCUCUCUCAGCCGAGCGGAACACAACCAGAGCAUCCCCCGUCAGGCCCCGCCCACAUCCUGGACGCUCCUGUAUGCUGACAGACACACCUGUCAGGAGGACCCUGAUGGUUCUGGGGACCCUGACCUCACCUUCACCGUCCUGCUCCUGAACCCGGACUCUGCAGGGAACCCUCUGGACCACUUCAGCGCCGAGGAGUCGGGUCUUCACUCCUUCUUCUCCUUCCUGCUGCUGGCCUACUUCCUGUCCUGCUGCAUCUACACAGGGCCCCUGCAGCGGGCUCUGAGGAAGAGGGGCCCCAUGCACACCGCCCUCAAGCUGCUGACCGCCGCACUGGCCCUACAGGGAGGCUCCGCCCUCUGGAAGUACAUCCACCUGUGCAGGUUCUCUACAGACGGGUCGGGUUUCCCUCUGAUGGGCCACCUGGCUGACUGUAGCGUCUCCUCUGCAGUCUGGGACAUGCUGUCUCAGGGGGCCGUCCUCUUCCUCCUGCUCAGUCUUUGUGGGGGCUGGACUCUGACCCGGGUCAGGAAGGCCCAGUCCAGACCGCUGCAGUGGGAGUGGUCUCCAGCUUCUGCGGCUUUCUCUGUGGGUGGAGUCAUUGCCCAGGGAGUUCUGCUGCUGUGGGAGCAGCUCUCGGAGGCGGAGCCGGAGCACCACGGUAGCCACGCCCAGCAGAGCUGGGCGUCUGUCCUGCUGGUGGUGCUGAGGGUGGGGCUGGCCGUCCUGCUGGCGUCCGUCCUGUUCUGGAUCAUCUCCACAGAGAGGAGCGCGCUGAAGAGGGACUUCUACCUGAGCUUCUCCAGGAAAACUGACCUGCAGCAGCGUUCAACAUCAGAGUGUGGGAACAUUGGAUGAUGUCAUCACUUCCCUCUAAGCUCCGCCCCUCACACACCUGUCUGUGUUGCAUGUGUCGUCAUGGAAACCACCACAGGCCUGCUUCCUGUGGUUCCUCUGCCAGCCCGUCCUGGUCUUCCUGUCGGGGGUCUUCAACCGCCACCAGAGGCAGAAGGUGGUGACUGUGGGCGUGGUCCUCUGUCGCUCCAUCUCCAUGGUGAUCCUCUACCAGCUCUUCCUGUCCCGCUCUCUGUACUGGGAGGUGUCCUCGCUGUCCUCCGUGUCUCUGCCCCUCACCAUGUCCACAGCCAGCAGCAGGGGGCGCCAGUGACGGGGGUGGAGUCACCAGACCAUGGACACGCCCCCAUCCAUGUGAGAGGACGUCUGCAGGUCAGACGGAUCUGCAGACCGUGUGGGGGGGUCAUUUCUCCACGCAUGUCUCUGAACACGCAGACAGGAAAUGUCUCAUUUCAGGAACCCUUCAAAAUAAAAGAAGUGGAAAAAUGA